rnacentral:miRNA from 1 species
AUUUAGCGAGCUGAGUGGGGAGGAGAGAGGGACAGAGAGCCUGCUUGCUUUUAAGGAGCCAACCGGACAGGAGCCGCUUACACUCGUGUAAGCGGCUCCUCUCCUCUCCCGCUUUGCUCCUUUAAAGAAGCAGGCUCUCUGUCCCUCUCUCCUCCCCACUCAGCGGCUCUUCUC